AUUUGAGGCCUCCCCUCUUUUCUAAUGCAUUCAGUACUACAGCGUAUACUCUCAGCACUGCUUUAGCUGCUUCCCAUAUACAUUUCUAUUUUCUAUUUUUAUUUUCAUUCAGUUCUAUAUAUAUAUCUUACAAAAUAUUCUUGACCCUUAUUCUUUCACCUAUGUAUUGUAUAAUACUUUGGUGUGUAGUUUAUAAGUAUUUGGAAAGUUUUCUUUUGUCUUUCUGUUAAUGAUUUCUAGUUUUAUUCCAUUAUAGAAAAAGAAUAUACUCCACAUGACUUCAGUUAUUUUAUAUCUUGAGGGAUUAUUUAGUGACCCUGGAUAUGAUCUAUUUGGUGAAUGGCUGCUAGGAAAAGCAGGACCCAUAGAAUCUAAAGUUGCUGGAGAAGGAAUCACAAAUUCCUCAAGUGGGUCACUGGGAGUGACAGGGAAUGUGCCAUUUCUACUUUUACUACUUUGUUCCUGGACCCAUGUGUUCUACCUUCUGAAGAAUAGAACCAUAAAAUAAACAUUGGCUUAAGGCUUUAGAGAAGAGCCCAGACUGUUGACAUAUAUAUUUCAGUCUUGACACUAACAAGAUAACUCCGUUGAUCCCACCUGGGCUUCUGACCUAUAGAGACGCAGAGAAUUAAAUGCUAGAGAACUGGAGCCGCAGAUUUUGC
rnacentral:lncRNA from 1 species